UGUAGCCUUAACGUGACUGGUUGAUCUUACGGUUGUCGGCUUGUUGGUGAUGGAGGCAGGACACAGAGCAGGAAGCAGAAGGUAAACUUGGUGUUGUAUUCCAUGGAAGUGCCACUGAGAAACAAGCCCCACAGAGUUUGAUGGAGUGCCUGAUUGACAGCUCUGUUCCCCUGCCUUCUUUUCUCGUCUCGUCUUCCACACACGUUCAACUUGUCCCUCGCUUCUAAAACCCCAGACUCUUUGAUCAUUCCGMAUGAUUGUACUGCACUGCAGAGAACUACUGAAGACUACAGCGAGAAGAGAGGUGGUUAGAAAGAGAUAGAAAGCGGAGGACAGAAAGAAAAUAUUCCAUCUCUUUGUUUUUCCUCUCUGUGGCAUUUUGCCUUGUGGGAGUUAGGUUCUUUGAGGGGGAUUCAAGAGCUUAMCAUUGGUAUGUGUGGAACUGAAUGGGUGUGUGUGCGCGAGAACCCCAGGGAGCAUGACAGCCUCUCUCUUGUUGACUUCUAAAAGUCCUCUAGUGGCCUGAGACACGAUGCUGUACCACAUCCUCCAAUAAUCCAAAGGAUGUGAGGACAAAAGCCCAGAGACGAAAGCCAGAGAGAAAGAGAAACGGGAAACUCAAAGGCCCAGCCCAAUCAAGCAUGAACUCUGUUGGUCGGUACUCACCACUGUUGACAACAAACAGCAUAUGAGCCUGGAUGUUUGGAAAAAAAUGUCCCAAAUGUUGUCUGACUUGGGAUUGAGCGGUAUUAGAAACUGGAACUUGUGUUAUGUUUGGUUCAGUGCAAAUGUCAAAAAGCUUUGUGGUAGUAACUGAGACCUUUAAGUUUCCACCAUCAACACAACAUAAACAAAACCACAGAUUUGGACAUUAAAGUUGAAUUGAUUGCACACAGCUUUCUACUGUAAAAAAUAAAUAAAUAAAAUGAAUGUUUGUUGAUGUGAAGCAUUGCCAGAAUGC